rnacentral:rRNA from 3 species
UGAGGAAUAUUGCACAAUGGAGGAAACUCUGAUGCAGCAACGCCGCGUGGAGGAUGACGCAUUUCGGUGUGUAAACUCCUUUUAAGAGGGAAGAUUAUGACGGUACCUCUUGAAUAAGCACCGGCUAACUCCGUGCCAGCAGCCGCGGUAAUACGGAGGGUGCAAGCGUUACUCGGAAUCACUGGGCGUAAAGGGUGCGUAGGCUGACUUUUAAGUCAGGCGUGAAAUCCAAUGGCUUAACCAUUGAACUGCGCUUGAAACUGGGAGUCUAGAGUUCAGAAGGGGCAGAUGGAAUUAGUGGUGUAGGGGUAAAAUCCGUAGAUAUCACUAGGAAUAUCAAAAGCGAAGGCGAUCUGCUGGGAUGAUACUGACGCUGAGGCACGAAAGCGUGGGGAGCAAACAGG